AUUGAACGCUGGCGGCAGGCCUAACACAUGCAAGUCGAGCGAGCGGCGGACGGGUGAGUAAUGUCUGGGGAUCUGCCCGAUGGAGGGGGAUAACUACUGGAAACGGUAGCUAAUACCGCAUACUAUCGGAUGUGCCCAGAUGGGAUUAGCUAGUAGGUGGGGUAACGGCUCACCUAGGCGACGAUCUCUAGCUGGUCUGAGAGGAUGAUCAGCCACACUGGAACUGAGACACGGCCCAUACUCCUACGGGAGGCAGCAGUGGGGAAUAUUGCACAAUGGGCGCAAGCCUGAUGCAGCCAUGCCGCGUGUAUGAAGAAGGCCUUAGGGUUGUAAAGUACUUUCAGCGGGGAGGCGUUACUCGCAGAAGAAGCAUCGGCUAACUCCGUGCCAGCAGCCGCGGUAAUAC
rnacentral:rRNA from 1 species